AACGUAGGUGGCGAGCGUUAUCCGGAUUUACUGGGCGUAAAGCGUGUGCAGGCGGGGGGGCAAGGGGUGUCUGAAAUUUCCCGGCUUAACCGGGAAGGGUUAUGCCAGACUGUCUUUCUGGAGUGCGAGAGAGGGGCGUGGAAUUCCGGGUGUAGUGGUGAAAUGCGUAGAGAUCCGGAGGAACCCCAGAGGCGAAGGCGGCGCCCUGGCUCGCAACUGACGCUCAGACACGACAGCAUGGGGAGCGAACGGG
rnacentral:rRNA from 1 species